GGCCUGAUAGCACAACUGGUUAAUGCAUCUACUCAGUAUUCAUGAUUCCGAAGCUUUCCAGUGGAAGAUCCCCGUUCGAUUCGGGGUCAGGCUA